rnacentral:rRNA from 1 species
UACGGAGGGUGCGAGCGUUGUCCGGAAUCACUGGGCGUAAAGGGCGCGUAGGCGGCCUGAUAAGUAGGGGGUGAAAUCCUGCGGCUUAACCGCAGGGCUGCCUUCUAAACUGUCAGGCUAGAGCACAGUAGAGGCAGGUGGAAUUCCCGGUGUAGCGGUGGAAUGCGUAGAGAUCGGGAGGAACACCGGUGGCGAAGGCGGGUCUCUGGGCCGAUAUUGACGCUGAGGAGCGAAAGCGUGGGGAGCAAACAGG